UACGGAGGGGGCUAGCGUUGUUCGGAAUUACUGGGCGUAAAGCGCACGUAGGCGGACUGGAAAGUCAGGGGUGAAAUCCCGGGGCUCAACCCCGGAACUGCCUUUGAAACUCCCGGUCUUGAGGUCGAGAGAGGUGAGUGGAAUUCCGAGUGUAGAGGUGAAAUUCGUAGAUAUUCGGAGGAACACCAGUGGCGAAGGCGGCUCACAGGCUCGAUACUGACGCUGAGGUGCGAAAGCGUGAGGAGCAGGCAGG
rnacentral:rRNA from 1 species